ACUUAUGGCCAUACCACCCUGAACACGCCUGAACUCGUCUGAUCUUGGAAACAAACAAGGGUUGGACCUGGUCAGUAUUUGGACAGGAGACCGCCUGGAAAUACCAGGUGCUGUAAGCU
rnacentral:rRNA from 1 species